rnacentral:rRNA from 1 species
AGGACGGUGGUCAUGGAAGUUGAAAUUCACUAAGGACUGUGUAACAACUUGCCUGCCAAAUCAACUAGCCCUGAAAAUGGAUGG